UACGAAGGGGACUAGCGUUGUUCGGAUUCACUGGGCGUAAAGGGUGCGUAGGUGGUGAGGUAAGUCGGAUGUGAAAGCUCCAAGCUCAACUUGGAAAUGGCAUUGGAAACUACCUUGCUAGAGGGUUUGAGGGGGGACUGGAAUACUUGGUGUAGCAGUGAAAUGCGUAGAUAUCAAGUGGAACACCAGUGGCGAAGGCGAGUCCCUGGAAAACUCCUGACACUGAGGCACGAAAGCUAGGGGAGCAAACAGG
rnacentral:rRNA from 1 species